rnacentral:ncRNA from 1 species
ACAGACUGCUGACACAGACCCGGACGAGCGCACCGUACCCGGCCAGCGACAAGACGGUGCCAG